rnacentral:rRNA from 1 species
UUAGAGGAAGUAAAAGUCGUAACAAGGUUUCCGUAGGUGGACCUGCGGAAGGAUCAUUAUUGAAAUAAACCUGAUGGGUUGUUGCUGGUUCUCUAGGGAGCAUGUGCACGCSUUGUCAUCUUUAUAUAUCCACCUGUGCACCUUUUGUAGACCUUUCAGGUCUAUGUUGCUUCAUUUACCACAAUGCAUGUUAACAGAAUGUUGUGCCUAUAUAUAAUAUAUACAACUUUCAGCAACGGAUCUCUUGGCUCUCGCAUCGAUGAAGAACGCAGCGAAAUGCGAUAAGUAAUGUGAAUUGCAGAAUUCAGUGAAUCAUCGAAUCUUUGAACGCACCUUGCGCUCCUUGGUAUUCCGAGGAGCAUGCCUGUUUGAGUGUCAUUAAUAUAUAUAUCAGCCCUCUCUUGUUGAGUGGUUUGGAUGUGGGAGUUUGCUGGCCUCUUAAAUGAGGUUCAGCUCUCCUGAAAUGCAUUAGCAGAACAACCUGUUCAUUGGUGUGAUAACUAUCUACGCUAUUGAAUGUGAAGGGAAGUUCAGCUUUCUAACAGUCUUUGGACAAUUUACAUCAUUAAUGUGACCUCAAAUCAGGUAGGACUACCCGCUGAACUUAAGCAUAUCAAUAAGCGGAGGAAAAGAAACUAACAAGGAUUCCCCUAGUAACUGCGAGUGAAGCGGGAAAAGCUCAAAUAUAAAAUCUGGCGGUCUUUUGGCUGUCCGAGUUGUAAUCUAGAGAAGUGUCAUCCGCGCUGGACCGUGUACAAGUCUCCUGGAAUGGAGCAUCAUAGAGGGUGAGAAUCCCGUCUUUGACAUGGACUGCCAGGGCUUUGUGAUGCGCUCUCAAAGAGUCGAGUUGUUUGGGAAUGCAGCUCAAAAUGGGUGGUAAUUCCAUCUAAAGCUAAAUAUGGGCGAGAGACCGAUAGCGAACCAGUACCGUGAGGGAAAGAUGAAAAGAACCU